AAUUAAGUUUGUUCAAUUUUUUGUAGCCUAAGACUUACAUAGACGCAUUUGAGAACACUAUUGUCAACGCUAUUGUUAUUCUAUUCUUAAUUGUUUUAUGUUUAAUGAACGAUAAAAGUAGAAUAACACAAUAAUACUGAAUAGCACUGAAUAGCAUACUUCCCGCGCUUUACAUUGAUUGGUUACAACUGAGGAGCGCGAGCUGUAGCGUAGCCAAUGUAGAAUUAGCCUUCCGUAUGCAAAAGUUAAUAAGGAAGAUAUAUUUCGCAAGCUGGGAUUAUUUCCUGUCCGUUUGGUUAUUCCAUGCGCAGUUAUCCACGUGGAAAAUUUUUAAUAAGUAUUAUAUCUGGGAUUUCCAAAAUUAUCGACGAUAAAAGUGAUCUAACCUCUCUCUUACCGCACAAAAGUAUACACGUGCCGUAUCUUAUUUUUAUACUUUGAGUUUCAUAUAAUUUUGUAAAAAACCAACGGAUAGCUUUAAGCAAUCUCACAAGAAAAA
rnacentral:lncRNA from 13 species